rnacentral:misc_RNA from 1 species
AAAGUCGUAACAAGGUUUCCGUAGGUGAACCUGCGGAAGGAUCAUUAUCGUAGGGGGCUCUGCCCCCGAAAAAGGAUGUAGGCCAGCCAGAAUUGCAGCCCGUUUGACGCAUAAAGCACCCGUCCUGCAUAGUGGCUCACCCAUUAUUUGCGGCUCGGGGCGCGUUACUGGCGGUUGAUUUCAACCUAAUCGUCUUCUGAGGGCGCUUCUCCUGCCAGACCCGGCGGGCGUGGAACCUCAGGUGACUUCCAGAUAAAGCUACAUGAAUGGCUGGUAUACUCUGGCUCUGUAACCCUUGUAUAUGAGUACUACCGUUUCCUCGGCAGGCUUGCCUGCCAAUGGGGACCCCACCAAACCUUUUUAUGUUGUCGUAACCGUAACCAAACAAAUAAUCAAAACUUUCAACAACGGAUCUCUUGGUUCUG